rnacentral:rRNA from 1 species
CACGCUGUAAACGAUGAACACUUGGUGUGGAGGGAGUUGACCCCUUCCGUGCCGGAGCUAACGCGUUAAGUGUUCCGCCUGGGGANGCAACGCGAAGAACCUUACCUGGGCUUGAACUGCAGUGGACCGGUAUAGAGAUAUGCCUUUUCGCAAGAACUGCUGCAGAGGUGC